rnacentral:rRNA from 3 species
UUCAGUGACAAUCGCGGAGAGGUCACACCCGUUCCCAUGCCGAACACGGUAGUUAAGCUCUCCAGCGCCGAUGAUAGUUGGGGGCUCUCCCCCUGUGAAAGUAGGACGUCGCUGAGC